ACCCUCUAACAAUCGGCAUGACCCACCUCAUAACUCUCAUCUUUGUGUGUGUGCGGGUGUGUGUGUUUCUCUGUGUGUGUGUGUCUGUUUCAGUCACCCCCUCCAGUCCUCUAUUGGAGCCUCAUGCCUCCUCUUCCUCCUCUUCUUCAUGCAUCCCUACCUCCAUCUCUCUGUCUGCGGGCCCUUUCUCAUUCUCUCCUGUCCAUAUGAUCUCUGCAGUCAAACAGAAGAGCGCCUUCGCGCCUGUCGUCCGGCCACAGACCUCCCCGCCCCCCACCUGCACCAGCACCAAUGGGAGCAGUAUACAGGCUAUGGCCGGUCUGAUUGUCCCUCCCAUGUGAAGAGGAACCUAACCUUCUUCUAAGGCUUCAUUGAGCCCACAACAAACUCACUGGCUCACCAAAUUUGUCUGACACUCUCUUAUCGAACUUCACCAGUCCUAUGAGGAGCUGCCCGAAAAGAACAUCAAUACCUGGAUUGCUAAAAGAAAAAAAAGGAAAAGUAUACCUGGCCUGAAAAUGUCCCAUGUCCUGAAAUGUCAAUAGAUGUGUUUGUUUUGCCCUCUAUGACUUCAUCCUUGGAUACUCGCCAUACCGGGUGGCAUUUCGAACAGGAAGCAUAAAAGCUGGAUAUUAUCGCAAUGUGAACAAGAAGCCGAGGUUUUGAUACAUCCACGGCCGUAGGGGCUUCUUUGCAUGGCUGAUGUUGUCUGUAGACCGUUCGUUUCAUACUGUAUGUCUGUCCUGUUUCCACUGUGAGAAGAGAGAUGCCACUCAUCCAGAUGGGUCUGUGACGGCUCAAAAGGUCAUUCAGAAAUGAUUCACUCCUAAUUACGAAAUGCAGUGUCUUCGGUUUUUAACAUCAAGCUGAUUUGAUUUCCUUUCGCUUUUGUUUUAAACCAUCAAAUGAGAACAGAGUGAUGGACAAACAAACACAAAAUGAUCCCAGACUGUAAUUUAGUCAUCAUCAGGAUGAUGGAUGUCAGUCAUUUUUACUCAUACCGUUUCUGUAGUUCCAGUAUAGUUCCAGGUGUGUGGAUAGGUAGAUUUAAGCCAGGAAUGCUUUCUGCAGUUUUAAUCACAUUUAGGUACCAGACUUAUUGUUGAAUUUCUUAUUGUGCUUUUUUGUAUGUAUUUAUAAAGUUUGUUUCAGGAUUUCUUUGGUGAGUUAGGCCUGAAUAAUAGUAUCAAAUAUCUAUGUCAACACAUUUGAUGUCUUAAUACCUUUUAGAUAUUGUAAAAAGAGUGAAAAAUAAAAGGGAUUACACUUUUUUUUUUUUUUUUU